rnacentral:rRNA from 1 species
GGACGAACGCUGGCGGCGUGCUUAACCCAUGCAAGUCGAACGGAAAGGCCCUGCUUUUGUGGGGUGCUCGAGUGGCGAACGGGUGAGUAACACGUGAGUAACCUGCCCUUGACUUUGGGAUAACUUCAGGAAACUGGGGCUAAUACCGGAUAGGAGCUCCUGCUGCAUGGUGGGGGUUGGAAAGUUUCGGCGGUUGGGAUGGACUCGCGGCUUAUCAGCUUGUUGGUGGGGUAGUGGCUUACCAAGGCUUUGACGGGUAGCCGGCCUGAGAGGGUGACCGGCCACAUUGGGACUGAGAUACGGCCCAGACUCCUACGGGAGGCAGCAGUGGGGAAUAUUGCACAAUGGGCGGAAGCCUGAUGCAGCAACGCCGCGUGCGGGAUGACGGCCUUCGGGUUGUAAACCGCUUUCGCCUGUGACGAAGCGUGAGUGACGGUAAUGGGUAAAGAAGCACCGGCUAACUACGUG